rnacentral:rRNA from 1 species
AUACGGAGGGUGCAAGCGUUAUCCGGAUUCAUUGGGUUUAAAGGGUUCGCAGGCGGCGUAUUAAGUCAGUGGUGAAAUCCCGAGGCUCAACCUCGGAACUGCCAUUGAUACUGGUAUGCUAGAGUAUAGUUGGCGUUGGCGGAAUGUAUCAUGUAGCGGUGAAAUGCUUAGAUAUGAUACAGAACACCGAUCGCGAAGGCAGCUAACGAAACUAUAACUGACGCUCAGGAACGAAAGCGUGGGGAGCGAACAGGAUUAGAAACCCUAGUAGUCC